CCCUGGGAGUUGUGGGCACCGGGGAUUGUGGGAAAUGUAGUUUGGAGACUCCGCCCUGAUCACCAUUUCUGUAAUGGCUGCUUCCUUGAAGUAGGCGCUGUCACGUGGAAUCUCAGCCUCAGCAUCCGGAGCUGCUGGAAGGGAGUCAGAUAGAAUUCAGUACCGCCUUCUUUGAGAUCUUCAUCCUUCAAGAACCAGCCACAUCAUGAUCUCAGUUUCAACACAGUUGUUCCUAGUCCUCUUUUCAUUGCUUUUGGUGCUGCCUGUUGUUGAAGCAGUAGAAGCUGGAGAUGCAAUUGCUCUCUUGUUAGGUGUGAUUCUCAGCAUUACAGGCAUUUGUGCUUGUUUGGGGGUGUAUGCACGAAAAAGAAAUGGACAGAUGUGACUUUGAAGGGCCUCCUGAAUCAAACCUUCCUCUGAAAACCUUUGUGCUAUUGAGUUUCAGAACUGAGCUUUGGUGUCUGAAAGUUCCCAAGAAACAGUUAAUAGAGAAGUUUCAUAUUAUUGGUUAUUUUCCUAUAAAAAGGAACAAAUUGAUAUACUCUGUUAAAGGGAAAACAACAUGUUUUUGUCACAACAGUUAAUGCACUGGAAAAUGCCAUCUGUAAUUUGCAUUUGCUGAAAUUUGCAUAAGUAAUAUUUCAUAGUUUCAGAAUUCUCAGUAGGAAGAAGGAAACUCUUGCCCAGAAUCCUAGGAAAUUGCCACUGUUCAGUUAUAAUCACUGCCUCCUGCAUCAUUGAGGAAUUUUUUUCUCCAUAUUUUUAUUGGAUUUUUGUUUUGUUAUCUCCCAAGUGAGUACUGUACCUAGACAUUAAAUACAGUUGGUCAGAAAUUAAAACUUAUCUCUGUGUGGGAUAAAGUUCAGAAAAUGUAUUCAAUGUAUCUAACAUUGAAAUGGAGAGAGUUAAUGUAAAAAAAAAUACUUUAUAUUGACAUUGAAAUGGAGAAGAGAUCUAUUGUUUAACAAAAACAAAAAAUGUUUAUAUUAACUGAGUAACAUCUCCAUGGUGAGAAGUACUAUGUCAAGUAUAAACCUAUUAUGUAAGUUAAUUUGUGGUGUCCAUUUCUGUUUAUUUCAGACUGUUUUUAUCUCUGUGAAGUUUCUAUGAACUAAGUGGAGAUGAGUAGAUGCCUUAUGUUAACUGUUGACUCCAGCUUUUAGAGAUAUAAUCAGUGAAAAAUUAGAAAUGGGCAGCAUCAAGGUAGGGAAGAGGCCCCUGGUAGAGAAUCCACAGAUGCAGAAGGCAAAUGUUAUGGCAUAUACUGAUUUACACACAAGCCACAUGAGGUACACUCUCCCCAUCCUUGCUACUUAAAGUGUCCUCAGCAGCAGCAGUAUCACCUUAGGGCUUGUUAAAACUGCAAUCUCAGGCCCCCUCCACCCCACCCCCAACCAAUUGGAUCAGAAUCUGCUUUUGUUUCUAGAACCCAGGAUAACUAUACACAUUCAAGUUUAAGAAGAUUGCUCUAACUUGUUUGAAUGCAAGGAUCAAACAAGUUGAUAAAAACUGUUAGAUUCCCAGCUUCCUCUCCUGGUUGCGUUGUAGGUUGGGGUAUGGAAUUCUUUGUUUAACAAGGGUCCACAGUGAUUCCUUUGACUGUAGAUACAGCCAACAUAGAAUUGUGUGAGUAAAUAAAACUGCUAUGGGGUCUUCAUGAAA